rnacentral:rRNA from 1 species
AUCUAUGGCCAUACCACCCUGAAUGCACCCAAUGUUGUCUGAUCUUGGAAGCUAAGCAGGAUUGGGUCUUGUUAGGUCUUGGAUGGGAGACUUUGGAGAGAAAUGUCCCAAGCUC